CAGGAUGAACGCUAGCACAGGCUUAACACAUGCAAGUCGAGGGGCAGCGCGCGGAGGCUUCGGCCACUGUGGCGGCGACCGGCGAAUGGGUGAGUAACACGUAUCCAACCUGCCCGUCACUGGGGGAUAGCCCUCCGAAAGGAGAAUUAACACCCAUGAUUGCAUUUGAGGCAUCUUUUAUGCAUUAAAGGUUACGGUGACGGAUGGGGAUGCGUCCGAUUAGCUAGUCGGCGGGGUAACGGCCCACCGAGGCGACGAUCGGUAGGGGGUCUGAGAGGAUGGUCCCCCACACUGGAACUGAGACACGGUCCAGACUCCUACGGGAGGCAGCAGUGAGGAAUAUUGGUCAAUGGGCGAGAGCCUGAACCAGCCAAGUAAGCGUGAAGGAUGACGGCCCUACGGGUUGUAAACUUCUUUUAUGCGGGAAUAAAGUUCGCCACGUGUGGCGUUUUGCAUGUACCGCAAGAAAAAGCACCGGCUAAUUCCGUGCCAGCCGCCGC
rnacentral:rRNA from 1 species